UAGAGCUGAUCCUGCUCAGAAUGAACGCUGGCGGCAGGCCUAAAACAUGCAAGUCGAACGCUGUAGCAAUACAGAGUGGCGCACGGGUGAGUAACAUGUGGGAAUAUGCCUUUUGGUACGGAACAACGUUUGGAAACGAACGCUAAUACCGUAUGGUCCCUUCGGGGUAAAGAUUUAUCGCCAAAAGAUUAGCCCGCACUAGAUUAGCUAGUUGGUAAGGUAAUGGCUUACCAAGGCGACGAUCUAUAGCUGGUCUGAGAGGACGAUCAGCCACACUGGGACUGAGACACGGCCCAGACUCCUACGGGAGGCAGCAGUUAGGAAUAUUGGACAAUGGGCGCAAGCCUGAUCCAGCCAUGCCGCGUGAGUGAUGAAGGCCUUCGGGUUGUAAAACUCUUUAGCCGAUGAAUAUAAUGACUGUAGUCGGAAAAUAAG
rnacentral:rRNA from 1 species